CGGACGACAUACAUCGAUCUAAUAUCAAUUUAAAAGACUGCCGAUCUGUCCACAGUGUACCCCGCCUCUCCAGCAACUCCUGUGACCCUAGCGAAGAUAAGCAGUAGUAGAAGAUGAGAUGAGAUGAGUUGGACUCAUACAGACGGUUAUUUCAGUGAGGCUCGAGGAGCUGCAGUGUGCUGGCUGUAAACCAUAGGUGUGACAUGGCAGAUGGAAGAAGCGGUGGGAGGGAAGGUGAAUCUUUCGGUCCCACGGUGUGUCCCCUGGGCUGCAAGUGGAAAGUGACCGCGGUAAUUAAUCCAUUUUCACCACUUUUUUUUUAUCCUCCAAAUAUUGAGCCUUGCGGGUGUUCACUGAAGGACACAAGCACAGCAUUUUUUUUUUUGCUUUCUUGAAGUGUGUAAAGAAGGGAGAGAUGAUGUGUAAGGACUGGAAGGUAAUGUGUGGUAACUAUACAAUAGAGGUCACAGUCGAAUAAACUGAGGGAAAUCCAAAUAUUUUAAUGCCUGUAUCAA